UACAGAGGGGGGCAAGCGUUGUCCGGAUUUACUGGGCGUAAAAAGCGCGCAGGCGGUCGAUCAAGUCGAGUGUGAAAGCCCCCGGCUCAACUGGGGAGGGUCAUUCGAUACUGAUCGACUCGAAGGCAGGAGAGGGUAGUGGAAUUCCCGGUGUAGUGGUGAAAUGCGUAGAUAUCGGGAGGAACACCAGUGGCGAAGGCGACUACCUGGCCUGUUCUUGACGCUGAGGCGCGAAAGCUAGGGGAGCAAACGGG
rnacentral:rRNA from 1 species